rnacentral:rRNA from 1 species
UACGUAGGGUGCAAGCGUUGUCCGGAAUCAUUGGGCGUAAAGGGCGCGUAGGCGGCUUCAUAAGUCUUGGGUGAAAGCCCUCGGCUCAACCGAGGAAUUGCCUUGGAUACUGUGAAGCUCGAGGCUGGAAGAGGGCAGUGGAAGUUCCCGGUGUAGCGGUGAAAUGCGUAGAUAUCGGGAGGAACACCAGUGGCGAAGGCGGCUGCCUGGGCCAGUUCUGGACGCUGAGGCGCGAAAGCGUGGGGAGCAAACAGG